CUUCACUCCGACCUCUUCUGACUUCCUCUUCCACAUUGAAGGAGAUGUGUGAUUACAGUGGGCCCACAUGGAUAAUACAGGAUAAUAUCCCUUUUUUAAAGUCAGAACUUUAAUUCCAUCUUCUACCUUGAUUCCCCUUUGCUAUGUGAUAUGACAUAUUCACAGGUUCUGGGAAUUGUGACAUGGACAUCUCAGAGAGGGGGUCAUAAUUCUAUUACAGUGGCUUAGAAAUUCUGGUGCAUCUUAACUGAGGGUCUCUCGUGAGGUUGCAGUCAAGAUGUCAGCUGGUCUUGGUAGAUGCACGUCUCAGGAGAAAAUAACCAGGGGAAGAAGAGGAAAUGAUUGUGUUAAUGAUCAUGGCCUCACAAAAAUCUAGUGUACAUGCUGGAGGAACAGAACAUGGGAAGGAAAGGCCUUGAGCACCUGAUUAAGAAAUUUGGAUUCGCUUCUAUCUGAUUCAACAAACAUUUAUGAGUAAAAUUCUGUAAUGUGAGC
rnacentral:lncRNA from 1 species